CUAUGAGGCUAACACAAUUUGAACGGGGCAAAACGAAAUUAAAACGGAAAAUAUAUGAGUUUCCUAAGGUUCUAGAUUCAUUUCCACACUAAAUUCAUUUUCUAGAGUUUUAUUAAGUAAAUAUAAAUUCCCUGGGUCGUGGAUUAUAUUUCGUAAAAUAUCAGGGUCGAGUUUAUAAGAUUUUGGACUAAGUUGCGAUGAUCUUUCCUCUUACGUGGAUGGCGGAUUGAUUUACAGGUUCCCGAUGGGCUCUUUAGUGAAAAUGCCACCACGAACGGGGUAUCGGUUGAUCUAAGCUAUCUGAUCUAUAAUCAAUGGUCCAGAAUAGAUCCUAACCCCCGGGAACCGUUACCAAAUCUUGCCCAUCCACUACACGAUCAACGACCUGGAUUUAACUUAUCCACGAUCGGAUGAUGAGGUAUGGGAGCAUAGGAGCAGUUAGAUUGCAAACGUGCGGUCCAGAUUAGGAUCCCAUCCGAAACGGUACGCAGCACGCAAUCUCGGCCGCCCAAUCUAGAUCAACGGCCACGGACACAACUUCAAUCCUCCCGAUAGCCAGGGAUGGUGGAGCAGAGGUCCAUGACGGCGCUCUCGUCGGUGUGACGCGAUUGGGCGACCCGGAGCCCGAUUGAAGGCGCAACUAAAUGCUCAAUGACCUAGAGUAUGCAAUGAACCGAAUGAAUUGGGUUUUACCCUAAACAGCGACGACUGAGAUGCCGCCCACGGCGAUCUGUGGCCCACUGGGGAGGAGGGAGAUCUUGAGCAAUCCCGGCGACUCCGAGCGCACACUGACCACGGUGAAGCUUCGAACACCUUCCACGCCACACUGCGAAGCUCCUAGUACCGCACUCGAGAUUGGAGCUCCGAUGCGGACCCGAUUUCCCCACGGCGGCCCAUGCUCACCGACCUGAUGGUAAACUCGACGACGAUUUGGUUCGGGGGGUAGGCAGGUCUAGUUGAGGGGAUAGGGACGUCGUAGGGGCCUGGCUUUAUGGCUGAGGCAUGGAGGUCGGUUGGGGCAGCUGGUGCGACAGGGGGAAGAUCUCCGCUG
rnacentral:lncRNA from 7 species